UACGGAGGAUGCAAGCGUUAUCCGGAUUCAUUGGGUUUAAAGGGUGCGUAGGCGGCCUUUUAAGUCAGUGGUGAAAUCUUGCCGCUUAACGGUAAAAUUGCCAUUGAUACUGAAAGGCUUGAGUACAUUUGAGGUAAGCGGAAUGUGUAGUGUAGCGGUGAAAUGCUUAGAUAUUACACAGAACACCAAUUGCGAAGGCAGCUUACUAAACUGUUACUGACGCUGAUGCACGAAAGCGUGGGGAGCGAACAGG
rnacentral:rRNA from 1 species